rnacentral:lncRNA from 1 species
AUAAUUCUGUUUUGAAUUUUUCUGUCAAGUGGUCCUUUUCCCUCAGUUUUCCUAUUAUAUAAUUCUUCAUCAGAUCAAAGUCACUGGGUUCUUUUUCUAUUAAUUAACUCAUUGAGUCUGAGCCAGUGUCCAGGGACAGUUUGCCGCCGGGGCCCCAGAUUCCUAAGUUCCAGUCUCGGCAGUUUGCUUUUGCCUCUUGACGUACAUGGUGUGUGGAUCUGGUAACCAAGACACUAUUCUCCCUGUUCAUUUGUUCAGUGGGAAUGGUGUGUUGUAAAGGAUUAAGAUAUUUCCUCUGUCCCCACCUCCAUUUUUUCCUGCCACUGUAAAAAGGUAGACGUGUAUAGGAAGGUCAGGACUUGCCCAGGAUUUCAUCUCUUGUUUUUUUGUGAGUCAAAAAUAUAUUUUUUGAAGAAUAAGUAGAAGUGUAUAUUAGGAAUGUGGAGCCAGAAGGGGCCAGUUACAGCUGGGGCAGAGGGCUCUCUGUGGCUGGUGGGUAGCAGAAGUCCAUGGGGAUUUUCUUCCGUGACUGUGAUGCACCUGGUACUGGCAAGGCAACUGUGUCUUUUUAUAUUGUUUGGGAUUUAAAAAUGAAUCAAAGCUGAUAGUUAAUGGUAUUCAAGAAGUCUUUGGGGGUGAUUUUCUGCUUUUAGAAAGGGGGAAAACAUUUUGAGCAUCUUUGGCUUUAGUGUGACCUCUGACUCAAGCAUCCUGUUACCUUUAUAUGUUAGGCAGUGUUACCCCAGUUGUCUUAAACUGUGGUAUCUGAGGAUAAGUGUUUACAGUAUUCUUUUUC